rnacentral:rRNA from 1 species
AUUGAACGCUGGCGGCAGGCUUAACACAUGCAAGUCGAACGGUAACAGGUUAAGCUGACGAGUGGCGAACGGGUGAGUAAUGCAUCGGAACGUGCCCGAUCGUGGGGGUAACGCAGCGGAAGCUGCGCUUAUACCGCCUACGAACUGGGGAUGAAAGCGGGGGACCGGAAGGCCUCGGCGCGACGGGACGGGCGGUGUCCGAUUAGGUAGUUGGUGGGGUAAAGGCUCACCAAGCCAACGAUCUGUAGCUGGUCUGAGAGGACGACCAGCCAUACUGGGACUGAGACACGGCCCAGACUCCUACGGGAGGCAGCAGUGGGGAAUUUUGGACAAUGGGCGAAAGCCUGAUCCAGCCAUGCCGCGUGCAGGAUGAAGGCCUUCGGGUUGUAAACUGCUUUUGUACGGAACGAAAAGGUUUGGGCUAAUAAGCUGAGCUCAUGACGGUACCGUAAGAAUAAGCACCGGCUAACUACGUGCCAGCCGCCGCCGUAA